AAGAUUCAAUCUGAAAAUAGAUAAGGAAACUUGUCUCAUAUGUUACUGUAAAUGCAGGUAUUUUCCUUUAGUUAUAUGCAGAAAUUCAGCUCGAUGAGCUUGCCAAGGAAAGUCAUCAGUCUCUGUAAAUACCAAAGUGUGUUCCUUAAAGAACUUAAUGGACAGACUUUGGAAGUAUGAAGUAUGGUUGUUUUAAAAGAAAUAUAUUUUUCUGUUAAAGAGCACAAAGGUUAUACGUAAGAAUGUAUAUUACAUGGUAACUGAGGAAAAUACUAGUUUCUUAAAGUUAUAAAAUUAGUACAAUGUAAAUAUGAAUCAGAUUAUACUAAAAUUUUUGAAAGUAGUACUAUUUAAAUAUCUUAGUCAAGAUUGAGCCGUGUAAUGAGCUACACACAAAAUGGUUCUAAGUCUAAACAAACUUUUGUCCUCUAAUAAGAAAGAUUUUUUUAAUUCACAAUUUUUUUGCGUGUUGUUGGUAAUUCCCUUGUAAAGAAAAACAGUUGUGUGGUCCUGUGAUCAUUGUAUUAGUUCAGGAUUUAACCAGAGAAGUAGAACUAGUAGUAGGUAUGUACAUUAAGAGAUUUUUUACAAGGAAUUGGCUUAUAUGAUUGUGGGGGCUGGCUCAGCAAGUCCAAAAUCCAUAAAACAGGCCGUCAAGAAGGGACGUUCAGGGCAUACGCUGUUAUCCACAGGUGAAACGUCUUCUUUCUCUGCCUCAGUCUUGCUUUUAAGGCCUUCUAACUGAGUGAGUGAGACCCACCAGAUUAUCCAGGAUAAUCUUCCUUAUUUAAAGUUAGUUGAUUAGGGACCUCAAUCAUAUCUGCAAAAUCCCUUCAUAGCAACACCUCGAUUAAUGUUUAAUUGAAUAACUGGGAGCUGUAACCUUGCCAAGUUAGCACAUCAUUAUAAGAAAAUAGUUGCUUUGCCUUUCUGCAGUGUAAAUGCAAAAAUAUUUAAAUACUCAGUAAAUAAUUGAUAACAUAUAGCCAAAGAUAACUAAUAAAGACAAAAGCCAAGCCUUCAGUUCAGUACAGAAUUGACCACUGAGGAUAUAUAAGGAGCCAUUAAAUUUGAACUUGCUUUUGUGUGGCACAAAUACUGGCCUGGGGAGGGAUGAAUUCUUAUGUAUACCUAUGAGAUGUUUCCCCCACCAGAACACAAGUCUUCAGUUUGGGGUUUCCCAGACUGUACUUGGGGUGGAAAUUCAAACCGUAAAUCUAUGGAAAAUGAGAGCUGUGGUGACAGUCACAGGAGAUAAUAUUUCCCCAUCUAUUCUUGGCCAACAAUGACUAGUGUCCCUGUCAUCUCCCUUUGCUGACAGGCUGAUUUUUCCCCCUAUUCUUUCAGUGAAGAUGCAGCUCUAUUACAGAUACUGACUUUGUGCAGAGAUUUCACAUCCAACUCAGGAUCCACCUUGAAUGGGUCCGUGAACUUAUUCCAAUCUCAGAGGGCCCAUUAGUGCACCACCUCUUGGUCAGGAAGAUGGACAAGUGCUCCCAGUACAGCCCUGGCUUCACCUCUGCCUUAACACUCUCAUCUUCAGCUCUGUUUAGAGACUCUAGGGGUUUCCUUAUUUUCUUAUAAUAAUCAAAGUUGUUAACUGUGUAUAUUUAUUUUUUAAGCAUUUCUCAGCAUGUUGUUGAGGGCGGUUUUUCGGGGUAUGACUACUUCAGCCCUGUCCUUGGAGCUUAGCUGGGAUAAUUCUGAAGUGUGAAGUGCUCUAUACCAUCUCCCAAAGCUUCCUCCAGGAUUGAGCUUCAGUGGAGCUGGAGUUUAAGAAUGCACCCCUUAGUGGCCACCUUCUAGAAUGCACCCUCUAUUGACCGCUUUCUGAUGGUACUUCCCCAUUCUGGGGCUAGCGCCCUAUCACCAAAGACCUAAGGGUCCUUACCCUUAUUUCUGGGCAUGUCUGUUUCUUUUAUGUAUUGCCCACCUAAUACUACGUGCUUCUAGGAACUAGGCAUGCUUGUAGGUGCUUCUAGAGGAAGCCUUUAGAAUAUCCUGUUGGUGCCUCCUAGUGCCCACAUUUUGUUUCAGCAAAUGAUACUAUACAGGCAAAAAAAAAAAUGCAUAUGCUUUACCAUUAACAAGGAAAAAAAAGCCAGUCUAUAAAACUGUACUAUGUAAAAAUGCAUACGAAUGCCUCAAAGAAAAUAUUUCAAAAGUGUAACAGCUCCCUUAAGAUGGGUUGCUGGUGCUUUCCCCCAACCUUUUUAUAAUUUCCAAAGUUUCUGUGAUGAACAUGUAUCCCUUUGAUAAACAGAGAAAAAAAAUCCCAACAUUUAAAAAAAAUCAUAGCAAUAUUUUUUUAAAGUGGGAGAGAGAACUGAACAGGAACUGGAGGCUUCUUUCUAGACCUCCUUUAAAGAGAAGACUGCUUCCUGUCACUGUGCCUGUCAUCUCUUUUUUUUCCCCCUACUCUUUGCUCUGGCCUUGAUCUGUCUUAGCUAGCAUUUAAACUGGUCCUAGUAAGCCCAGCUCACCAGGUUUUAUUACAUGAAUAUGUUUUCUUUUGCAUCUCUAAGCAUCUUAAGUAUUGUCCAGGGCUUUUUUUUUUUUUUAAACUCUAGAAACUUCACUUGGGUUAGCUCUGCUGGGAAGCUGUUUGUACAGAGAAAAGGACAUAGGCCUGACUUGGUUGAACUGGACUCUGCCUUGCUCUCUGUUACCUGCUGGGACUUUGAACGAAUUACUUGAAUACUCUUGAGUCUCAGCUUGUUCAUUUACGCUCUCAGAUUAGAAGUGAUAGCAGCCCUACUCAAACUGCUUUGAUGCAAUCAUAGCCUCUUGGAAGUACUCAUGGAAGGCCUGGCUACCCAAGCUUCGGAAAUACAGGACUCUUUAACUACUGAUCUAGAAAUGGAAACACCAGGGAGUUUUUUGUUUUGGGUUUUGUUUUUUUUCCUGCCUCUUGUCCCUACUUCUCCCUACGUGUCCAUUUUAUCCUCUACAUGUUUUCUAGGUUUUAUGUCUUCUGUCUCUGUCACCAGGAAUAGAAUUAAAAUCCUGGGGAAAAAAUUAUUGGUCAGUUGUGAGUAAGGGCCUGCAUCUGACCCAGGUGUACAGCAUCGGGUAAGAACUAGGCUAUGUCUCCUGGUAAAUGGGCAGGGUUAGUUCCUAGAAGCCUAGGUAUUUGGUGGGCAAGCCCAUAGGUGUCCUUUUUAAGCCCCUUCCCUAUAGCAUUUGGUAAGAGUUUUGAGACAAUAUAUGUGAAGUUCAUUAAUUCUUCUAACCGACACCUCUCCAGUGCCUACUACCUGAUAAGCACAGUUCCAGGCAAUGGAGAAUCAACAGAGAACCAAACAGAUGAGCAGCCUUAUUUUAAUGAAGUUUAGGUGAAGACACAGCAUUCACCAGACUUUGAGAGACGACUUAGUGGGAUAUUUGGAACCAAAGGGUGAGUGCACACGCGCGUGACUCUUAAAAUAGGCUGUGUGUCUGUGAAGCCCUAUGUGAGUCUCUCGGACCAACACGGAUCGCUUUCCUUUGCUCGGUUUUCUCUAGUCAUUACUUGAACUUGCUCCUCCUGGACCACUCAACCUCACAAGCACGACUUACUUAACCUUCUCCCGAGCUGCCUCGGUGUUGCAGGCACCUGCCCCCCUCCCCCAGCUCACUGCCGCACUGCUAUGGUUUCCCACCAGAGACUCUGAAGCUCUGUUUUAUGAACUACUUUGAAAGCGACCAAUUAAGUUGCAAUUAAAGAAGCACAUCUACAUCACAGAAUCAUUUCCUCUUUUAAAAAGAGCAGUUGCAGAAAGUGCUGGUUUCCUGAUCCAGGUCCUACAUGCCUUAAGUUAAUUCUUGAUCACGUGCCACUGAAACUACCUCUAAAAAACUUUUUGGUUAAACAAUAACCUUUCCCUCAUUUCCACUUUCCUCUACGCUUUCCUUAUUACCUACCUUUGGUGCUAGACUUUCUUUAAUUACUCAAGUUACAGUGCAAAAUUAUACUACAAGACACAUGAUGCCAACACUUGUUACUUCUUCGUGUUAAAACGUGAAUGUUUUGUGCUUAGCAAAAGAAGUAUGAACCCAAAAAAAUAACUGUUCACAUUCUGUCUUCAAGUUUAAUAUGUCUUUUUUUUUCCAUCACAGCUAUUUACAAUAACUUUGGAGUGCUCUCUUGAUUUCAGUCAGUUCAUUGUAUCAGGGGACAACAGGGCUGCUGGAAUGUAGGAAGCUGGAUGGAAUGCAGAAAUAUAAAUAAGACCAAAGUUCCAUAAACCAAAGUGUAAAUAAUGCCUCCCCAGAAAACAGUUCUCGUCACAGAAGCACCUGUUUUUUGCUUAAAUCUUUUUGUCAUAUACACCAGAAAACAUGACUAUGGAGACCUAGAACUACUUGCACACCAAAGAGGAUAGAAAAUAACUCAAUAUUUAUAAUAUUAAAAUAAAGUGUUUAACCACAAAAAAGCAGUAAUAAAAUAGUUUCCUAAUUUACAAUUUGCAUCCAAAGGAUGAAUAACAACUCACUAAUAAAUAAUAUUUAUAUAAA